CUCUGUGACAACCUACAACUAAUGUCUCUUUCACCCCAGUGCGAGCUCCUUCCGACGGUCCUCCCCGGUGUCAGUUCCAAUUUUAUAGUUCGCGUUGUUUUUCUCAUUCUCUACUCUCCAUUUCAUUCUCGCAAAAACCCAGAAACUCAUUUCUUUGAUGGCCGAAGUUUUGCUUCCCUCCGUUCAAAUAGUCGACGGUAACUGCUGCUUCAAUGCCGCCGGUCUCGAUCAAUUCGUUCGCGUCACCAAGCUCCCCAAUUGUGCUCUCGCUUACAUAAUUGUCGCCGUCAUAGCCCCACAAAGCAGCGGUAGCGGCCUUCAGUGCUAGUUAAAAGUUCCGUUUCUUUCCGGGUUUUGGAACUGGGUUUCGUGAACAAGUGGAUUAUGAAAAACAGAAGAGAUGUAAGAUAGUUGAACUGGGAUUCUAAAAAGAACAAGAGGAGAAAUGUUCGAGAAGUUGAUUCUGAAUGGCUACCACUAGCAAUACUUCCGGUUACAAUAUCCUCUGCCAUUUUGGAACCACCAUCAGAACUUGAAGAUGAAGAUUAUGGCUGGAUCAUCAGCCAAUUUAUGUAUGAAUUUCCACAGGAUGACUCUUAACAGUUCGUCGACAUUAAUGAUGUCUUCAGAAGUUGAAUAGCAGAAUUUUUGUAAUCUUUUUUUUCAAAAGGCAUCUAAUCUGUGUAAUUUUUAGUUUCUAUGUUAAUGACCAACUACUUCAGCUUGCUUUU